AAACUCAAAUGAAUUGACGGGGGCCCGCACAAGCGGAGGAACAUGUGGUUUAAUUCGAUGAUACGCGAGGAACCUUACCUGGGCUUAAAUGGGGAGUGACAGCUGUCGAAAGAUGGUUUUCUUCGGACACUCUUCAAGGUGCUGCAUGGUUGUCGUCAGCUCGUGCCGUGAGGUGUCGGGUUAAGUCCCAUAACGAGCGCAACCCUUACCGUUAGUUACCAUCAGGUUAAGCUGGGGACUCUAGCGGGACUGCCACCGUAAGGUGAGAGGAAGUGGGGAUGACGUCAAAUCAGCACGGCCCUUAUGUCCAGGGCUACACACGUGUUACAAUGGCCAGUACAAAGGGCAGCUACCGGGUGACCGGAUGCUAAUCUCUAAAGCUGGUCUCAGUUCGGAUCGAAGUCUGCAACCCGACUUCGUGAAGCUGGAUUCGCUAGUAAUCGCGCAUCAGCCAUGGCGCGGUGAAUACGUUCCCGGGCCUU
rnacentral:rRNA from 1 species